rnacentral:rRNA from 1 species
UAGGGAAUAUUGGGCAAUGGAGGCAACUCUGACCCAGCCAUGCCGCGUGCAGGAAGACGGUCCUAUGGAUUGUAAACUGCUUUUAUCAUAGAGUAAACGUGGGGACGUGUCCCCGCCUGCAAGUAUAUGAUGAAUAAGCAUCGGCUAACUCCGUGCCAGCAGCCGCGGUAAUACGGAGGAUGCAAGCGUUAUCCGGAUUUAUUGGGUUUAAAGGGUGCGCAGGCGGAUCGGUAAGUCAGGGGUGAAAUUUAGCUGCUUAACAGCAAAACUGCCUUUGAUACUGCCGGACUAGAGUUUAAAUGACGUUGCCGGAAUGUGAUGUGUAGCGGUGAAAUGCAUAGAUAUGUCACAGAACGCCGAUCGUGAAGACAGGUAACGAAUUUAAUACAGACGCUCAUGCACGAAAGCGUGGGGAUCAAACAGGAUUAGAUACCCUGGUAGUCCACGCUGUAAACGAUGAUCACUCGUUGUUGGGUAGCGAUACUCAGUGGCCAAGCGAAAGCGAUAAGUGAUCCACCU